UACGUAGGUGGCAAGCGUUGUUCGGAAUUAUUGGGCGUAAAGGGCGCGUAGGCGGUUUGUUAAGUCAGCUGUGAAAGCCCGGGGCUCAACCCCGGAGGGUCAGCUGAUACUGGCAGGCUAGAGUACAGAAGAGGUAACUGGAAUUCCCGGUGUAGCGGUGAAAUGCGUAGAGAUCGGGAAGAACAUCAGUGACGAAGGCGGCCUGCUGGGCUGUUGCUGACGCUGAGGCGCGACAGCGUGGGGAGCAAACAGG
rnacentral:rRNA from 1 species